GGCCGGAUGGUUUAGUUGGUCAUAACGUCUGCUUAACAAGGUCACGUGCCUGGACAGCGCAGAAGGUCGGGAGUUCGAACCUCCCUCUGGUCA